UCUCCCAUGGUGUAGAGGUUAUCAUUCUAGUUUGUCAUGCUGGCGACCCGGGUUCGAUUCCCGGUGGGAGAG